CUGUGCAGUCAUUGUGAGUGCAGUGUACAAUGUUAAAAAAGGGAGCCGUUCUAAACGUGUGUUACAUGGCUGCUUUAGGCAUAUGGAGUUGAUGGUCCGAACAAGAAGUUGGCAUUCCACUAUUCAACGUGGCUUCAAUUCUUUCCGUUUUCCUGGUGUUACUUGGGUACUUAGAGCGUAUGCAUUUCCUAAACGGAAUUUGAUAGGUAGUCUCGACGGUCGUUAUGGAUUUACCUGCAAACAUUAGCUCAUAGGUCCUGCCAAUAGAGAUUUUAUCUCGUUUGAGAGGAAUAAAGUUUUAGAGAAAAGUCGCAUUAAAAUGUAACUUUUCCAGUUAAAUCGCAACAUUAAUUGUAGUUUUGAGCAUUUUUAGAAAAAUUCAAAAUACAUCAGUGACACAAUUAAA